GUGGAGGGGGCUGGGGGGUUUGGAGCUGCGGCAAACAAGGAAAAGGAUUUGGAUAAAGAAGGUUGAGGGGAUAGUGCACAUGGAGGAAGCCCAUCCUUUCCCUCCACCACGUGUCCUGCUGAAGCAGAUGGUGCCGUGUGGCUCCGCCAUGCCACUGUGGUCGCCUUGUGAGCGCUGCUGCCAUAAGGAGGCGGGUUAGUGGGAGAUUUGGGGUGACAGUGUUUGGCAGGGGCUACAAAGUGAAGAUGUAGGGAGGGGAGAAAGCGCUUGGUGCCUUGGGCUGACACCAAGGCUUUGGGAGGCGACUCCCCGCUGGUAAUGCAGUGAGAGAGGAGCAGGGGAGAAACCAGACGAGCAAAGACAGCCGCCACCUCACACUGGGUAACUGUGGCACAGUGGGCAGAGUAGUCAUCUGCAGCUGAGAGAGAGGGUGCGCUUGGCCCCAACACCUGUUUCUCAUUCAAACCUGGAAGGUUAACAGCUGUCUGGGAAGAUGACUGAGUCUUACAGGCCCGUACAGUGGGAGCUUCUAAUCAUCAUGGACAAACAAAGAAAGAGAGCGCCAAUCAGAAUGACAGCUGCCUUAAUGCCUCCAGACCUCAUUUAAAUACUUCACUUCCUCCAUCCUCAGUACUCGAUGACAUGUUGGCAGCAUGCUGCUUCAAACCAAACAAACUCAGAGUAAAUAUGGAAGGACAGAAAAGGCCAAGACAUGACUCAACAAAGGACAAAUUAAUGUACAAUUAUUGCUCCUCACCAUCAAAUACAUACAACCUCAGGCAUUUAUACGUGCAUCAUCUCUACCCAUCUAUCAUCCCAAAGAAAACUCCCCAUCAGCAUCAUGCUCUCCGGAUCAAAUCAAAAACAGCAAAAGCAGGUCGGCACUCCAGCGGCCUGUCAGCUCAGCUCAAGUCUUUAUCUUUCUCUUGCGUCUCUUCACAUUGAAGACAAAUGGAAGAGGGCCCUGCCCSUGGCAUUGGGAAGAAGGAAAUGUCCAUUCUAAUAUCCUGUCUCAAGUACACACUCUCUCCAUCAGAAUCACGUCUAUCAGUCCAUCUUGCUGGAUGUGGUGCAUGUGCGUGUGGRGAGGUGGGCACAGUGCUAUCUGAUGUUCUCCUCCUUCGGCUCUUUUUACGUUUUGUGGCAAGGACAUUCAGCAAUUACUUAGGAGACACACAUUCUAUGGUACUGAUCUACAAAGAUUCCAAGUAAGGAGUGCUAAAUUUUGUAAGCAGAAAAAAACCCCCCAAAAAAACAUGUAUGUGCAUUUAUGUGGCCAGAUCGCACGCAAUCUAUGUAGAUUGCGAGUACAUUUGAUUGGAGGUGCAAAAGUCCUGCAGAACGCUGUCUUUUGAUGAAAAUUUUCCGUCUCAAUUUUUUUAUCUCAGCAACUUCUUAAAGUUGCGGAAGCUUGGCUGGAAACUGCAACUCCAAGGACGAGCUUUGCRGAAAUUGGCAGAACUUUGUGAGAAGAAGAGUUUAGGCACCCCUGAAUGGCUGCCAAAACAUGAAAAUAUGGGAGUGCUUCUGCAAGACAACACACACAAAGCUAACAAAUAAAACUAUAAAGCUUUUAAAACAGAACUUAAGGCCUCUAGUGAUCUAAAAGGGAAUUUUGUUCAGRCUCUAUAACUUUGACAACUCUGACUCUAAGUUUAUAUCAGAUGUUUUUGGCCAUCUAAAGGUUUUUGCGCACUGCCUGAAUUUUAAACCAAUAUUUGCUUUAGCUGGAGCAAAAAAGAAAAAAAAAAAAAGUCCUGCUGUUGGCAUACAGUUAUAACCGCUAAAGCAAAACUGACUCAGAGGGGCCUGUAGGAAAACGCAACUCCUCCCAUUUGUAGAGCCAUUUUUACCAAAACCCAAACAAAAUAUGCACAGGCUGCACUUCAUUAUAUUUUAACAUCAUUCACUUAAACAGAGAAGUAUUUUAUUUCAAGCACUGCUGCUCAUCCCUCUUGGGAAUAUAAUUAGCUAUUAAUUUAAAGAUGCCCAGCUGUGCACUACUUGGAAGACAAGAAGGCGUGUUAGAAGAGGAAUUCCAGAAACAAAGCUUAGGAAGUAUGGACAGGAAGUGUAGGGAAAAGAAAGACAUUUGCCAGCACCUCAUUUACGGUACUUCUCUACUUUGUCCUGCAUGACCUUCUCCCAAAGUACAGCCUCUGAGGUUGUGUUGAGUGUAAAAAUACUUGCUGCUAAAAUCCACACUUUGCUGAAUUAUUUUGACAGGCUGUUUUAUUUAUUUGCUGUUCUUCUCACACUUCCACUUUUACUUCACCCUUCAUUGCCUYCUGUACAGACAGUGCCAGAUCUGUGCCCAAAGGUGUGUACCAGCCACCUAGGAUGUUUACCCUUUUACACUUUGUGAUUUGUAGCUCCCAUCAUGCAAAAAGUAAGCUUCAGGGAGCUUAAAGUUUUUUCUCUGGGAUGUUUUGUUUCACAGAGAUUUUAGCAAAGGGCAGAGGCUGUUUAAGUGGAAAGCACUAUUGAAAAUGUAUUUCCAAUGACACUUAACAUUUUUCUUUUUAAUCAUGCAUUCUUGUGACAGCUUCAUAAUAAAAAUAUUAUUUUCAGUGACAAAACUGUUAUGAACUCUUUAAUUUAGCUAUUGUUUCCAUUAACUGUUAAUAGUUAGAUGUAAGUUUCCUCUCAAUAGAGGGAAUCCCUAACUCAGUGAUUCUGUGUUUAGUUUUGGGAAGAGUUUGGGAAGAGCAGAGCUAUUUUUGUAAAAGAAAAAAAAACAUUCUAUGGUCUUUGUUUUCCUUUCCUACAGAAAUUACUCUUGGCUCAAGGCUCAUGUGUUCAGCUGGGCUCCUUGCACAAAAAAACCUUGACAAAGCUAUUGCUGCUUUCUCUGAUAAACUUUGUUCUUUUUAAUUACAUGGUAAGUACUUGUCUGAUAYGCUGACGUCAUUAACUUUGUGUCAAUCUCUAUCUCUAAAUUUAUGUUAUAUGCACAGUGCUUCUGUGCUUAGCUUUGUUUUUUAUGAAUAAAGUAACUGAUGGAGUUACUGAUGCCAUUGAAUUCCUUUGUUUAUAUUUUCAAUAAAUUGUAGCUUAGUUAUGCAAUAACUAGUUGUGUCUCAUGAAAAAGUUAUUAAAACAGCUACUGCUUCAAUUAACUAUUUAUAGUCUCUGUAUUUCUUUUAAACAAAGUACUCCAAGUUCAGUGCUUCUGUAUCCAGGUUUAUUUAUCGAAUGAAAUGACUGAUGRCACUAUUGCUGCCACUACCUAUGUGUUAAAACUCAACAAGGAUUAUUUCCCCAUAAAGCACAUAUGCUUCUUUUGUCAGCAAUUUUUUCUUUCUUAGACUUAGUUUUGUGCUAUUCCAGCAAUUAAGUACUCUUUAUUUCUGAUUACCGUAGAAAAUUUCUACUUCUUAUCUGUUUAAAUCUUCAACUUCAGCUUCAGAUCUUUUAAAUUCCAUGGGACUUUCCUGGCCCUUAGUAGAGCUUUGCUUCUAAUUACAUCAUAUUUAUUUUGUUUUUGUUUGCCACACAAUCUACUGAAGUAGCUCUUYUAUGCUUUUCCUCUUUCAUUUCUAUCUCAUCAAUCCCCAAAUGGCCGACUGAACUGAUCCUUCUUGUCCUGGAGAUUUCUUCUUUUUAAAGUUGAGGUGUUAGUCUCCAAUUUCACCUCAUGCUUGCUCAAGAGAUGAAUUCCUGCAAAGUCAACAACUUGAUGUGAUCAGCUCAGUUUUAUUUGAAAUACAGAUUUUUAUCAUUUGGCAUUAAAAGCAUAAACUUUAUUUUUCUGUAUUGUAUUUUGAUUGAACUGGUUUGAUAUAAUUGCAGUUACACCUAAUUAUAUCUUUAUAUCUCAUUGGAAUGAAUUAGACCGAUUAAAACUGAUUAUAGAAUGGCCUGGAUAUGAACUGUGUGGUUGUCUUUGACCUGUGAUCUGGUGACAAAUAAAUCAGCUGUUUUCUAUUAAAUUAGUUGUGUAAACAUAAUUAUAUGUGUUUUGACUGUAAUUGGUCUGUCUUUACUGUAAGUGUAUUAUAUCUUACAGUACAGUGCGAGACGAUCCGUCUAUGCGCUCAGUAAAGUAAAUGUGCAGUAUCCGACCUUCUGAACCUCCCGAUGUUCGCCUCUGAGGGUGCCAUUAUUUCUUUUAGAGGCCUGAGAAUUGGGAAGGUGGCGGGUGUGCAACGGUUCUGCAUGGGACCCAA